rnacentral:rRNA from 1 species
GGGGAAUAUUGCGCAAUGGGGGAAACCAUGACGCAGCAAUACCGCGUGAGUGAAGAAGGUUUUCGGAUCGUAAAGCUCUGUUAUUGGGGAAGAAAAAAAGACGGUACCCAAGAAGAAAGUCCCGGCUAACUACGUGCCAGCAGCCGCGGUAAUACGUAGGGGACAAGCGUUGUCCGGAUUUACUGGGCGUAAAGGGCACGCAGGCGGUUUUUUAAGUCAGAUGUGAAAGGUACCGGCUCAACCGGUGACAUGCAUUUGAAACUGAAAGACUUGAGUAUUGGAGAGGCAAGUGGAAUUCCUAGUGUAGCGGUGAAAUGCGUAGAUAUCAAGAGGAACACCGGUGGCGAAGGCGGCUUCCUGGACAAGUCCUGACUCUGAAACACGAAAGCCAGGGGAGCGAAUG